CAGCAGGCGCCAAAACCACUGAGCUAAAUUCCCGGCCUAUUCCGCUUCUGUUUACAAGGCACACGUUUGGUGGCUCCCUCUCUCAGGUGUCCUAGAACCCAGGCAUCGCUUGAGCACGCCCCUUCUCUACCCCUUCCUCCUGGUCUCCCAUCCCGGAAGCUGAGUGUCCUGUCCUGUUCUGGGUGCCGGCGAUGGAACCCGGGCCUCUUGCAUGCUGGCCACACGCUGGACCCUGAGCUGAGCUGCACCCCAGCCCUGGGCGGGUGUCUUGAGAACGCAGCACCCGGAGUCGGAAGCUCUGCUGUGUUGUAUUAACUCCUUAUCCUUGUACUGGAAACUGGCGAGCAGCGAAGUUUGGCGGUAGCGAGCGGUCGAGCCGGGGGCCCGGGCGCGGAGCAUGCAGGCCGGGCGGGCGCGGGGAGCGCGGGGGUGAGCGGGAGAGCGAGCG
rnacentral:lncRNA from 1 species